UUACGGCCAUAACACGUUGAAACAACGGUUCCCAUACGAUCACGGAAGUUAAGAAACGUCGAGCAUUUUCAGUAUCUACAUGGGUAACCAGCAGAGAAUACCAGGUGCUGUAU